rfam:Triticum aestivum genome assembly, contig: Triticum_aestivum_CS42_TGACv1_scaffold_407260_5BL
AUGUUACUCCCUCCGACCGGAAAUACUUGUCGGAGGAAUGGAUGUAUCUAUAUGCAUUUUAGUUCUAGAUACAUCCAUUUUAUUGCAUUUCUUCGACAAGUAUUUCCGGACGGAGGGAGUAAAAA